rnacentral:rRNA from 1 species
ACGGGAGGCAGCAGUGGGGAAUAUUGGGCAAUGGGCGAAAGCCUGACCCAGCAACGCCGCGUGAAGGAAGAAGGCCUUCGGGUUGUAAACUUCUUUUACCAGGGACGAAGGACGUGACGGUACCUGGAGAAAAAGCAACGGCUAACUACGUGCCAGCAGCCGCGGUAAUACGUAGGGGGCGAGCGUUGUCCGGAAUGACUGGGCGUAAAGGGCGUGUAGGCGGCACUGUAAGUCUGGAGUGAAAGUCCUGCUUUCAAGGUGGGAAUUGCUUUGGAGACUGCAGAGCUUGAGUACAGAAGAGGUAAGCGGAAUUCCCGGUGUAGCGGUGAAAUGCGUAGAGAUCGGGAGGAACACCAGUGGCGAAGGCGGCUUACUGGGCUGUAACUGACGCUGAGGCGCGAAAGCGUGGGGAGCAAACAGGAUUAGAUACCCUGGUA